rnacentral:rRNA from 1 species
CGUCUUGAAACACGGACCAAGGAGUUUAGCGUAUGAGCGAGUCAUCGGGUGUUAAAACCCACAGGCGCAAUGAAAGUGAAGGCUCGGUCGCCGGGCUGACAUGCAAAGAAGGCAUCGGCCCAGGCAUGCAGCAUGGUCCCAUUGCAAUCGUUUACGAUGCAGUGGAGAGAGAGCGUAUGCGCUGGGACCCGAAAGAUGGUGAACUAUGCUUGAGUAGGGCGCAGCCAGAAGAAACUCUGGUGGAAGUCCGCAGCGAUUCUGACGUGCAAAUCGAUCGUCGGACUUGGGUAUA